UCUGCAGCUGCAUUCCUAAACCUUUAUCUA
rnacentral:piRNA from 1 species